rnacentral:pre_miRNA from 1 species
UCCUUCAUUCCACCGGAGUCUGUGACAUAAACCAACCAGAUUUCAGUGGGGUGAAGCACA